CAAAGCGAGGAGGGAAAAGGAGACAGAAAAAAAUUGAAAAAAAGCCCAAAUUAUAAUUAUAUAUUAUAAAUUACUAUUUGAAAGAGUGAAAACAAAGGUCAAAACAGUACUACUGCUAGUUGGAGUGCUGAGGAACUUCACUGUGCAGUUUUAUCCAACGUGAAACUUGGUUUUUUGAUUCCAUGGGAAGAACAUUUUACAACAUUUUUUCAACAGUUUGAUGGCGAGCCACCCAACCAGAACCACUGUGUCUUGAAGGACGGUAUUUUUAUUUUACAUUAUUUUGUUUUUUCUGCAAAGGACUACAACUGAAAAUACUCUAGAGGAGUGCCUUCAUUCAGAGUAAAAGAAAUUGCAGAGACAUCGAAAAAAACAUUUUAAUUUUGGAUGUGAUUUUAGUUUAUUUUAGUUUUUGUUAUAUCCUGUGUGUGUGUGUGUGUAUAUAUAUAUAUAUAUAUAUAUAUGUAUGUAUAUGUGUGUGUGUGUGUGUGUAUUAUCUUAGGCUUAACUUAGAGGGUGUACCCUAGGGUAUUAUAUAUGUACUGUACAUGUUUAAUUUCACUCACUCUAAAUUGUAGAUAAAUCAUUCUAGAUUUACCUUAUCAGUUGUUAUCACUGUUAUUGUUUCAAUCCACUACCUCCUACGUAUCCUUUAGUCUUCUGAUAUCUGGUCUACACAUCAUCUAUAAUCUGCUUCCUCCUGCAUUUUCUUUUUGUUUUUUAGUUGUAGUAAUUUUUUGUAUGCAUUUACAAUAUUUUCUAAAAUGGGUAUUUUCACAAAAAAAAGUAAUUAAAAUCACACUGAUCAGGAUAAAGCAAUAAUUAAUUAAUUGGUGAAUUCAAUGAACAAAUGAAUAAAUCUCAAAUUACACCAGAUGCUCAGUACCCUAGAUGCUGAGUGCCUCGGCUUUUUGCAAUGAGAGCUUCAUUGCUGACCACUCACUCCUGACUGCAUGUCAUGAGUACAGUCCUGAUUCAUGCCUCUAGUUAAAUGUUCUAUUGUUAAUUGUCCACAGUUAUUAUUUUACACAUUUUAUGUGAUUGAUUCAUUUUUUGUCUUUAAAAAUAGCCUAAAGAAGCACUGAAACAGGAAAUGCACAGUAAUUAAUUUGGUGUAUGACUGAGUCUGUGUUGAACUGAAGUGUGUUUUGAUGUGUUCUUUGUUGUCAUUUGUCCACAUUGAACUGCAUUAAAUUAGCUUAAAAUAGUGAAGUCCUGAAUGAGCUUUUUUCUGAUUGAAAAAUGGUGACUAGUCAACUACCGUCUUAACAACCUUUUUUAAUUACUAAUCAUCCACUUAAAAUGAACUGUCAUGCAACCCAUAACACAUGGUGUAUUUUAUUUGGAUUACUAGUAGUUUAGGCAAAAUAUCAGUAAGAAUAAAAACAUCUUUGUGGAUAAAUAACAAUUGAACUCAAAUUUCUUUUGUCAAAAAAAGUUUAGUCAGAUCUUUUUAAUCAAAUCAUAAUAUUGCCUCUUUUAUGUAUUAGCAAAAGGUACAUUUUAAAUUAUUAAGAGGCUCUGGCAGAAAAUAAACCAUUAACCAUAACAUUCUUGAAGUUUUGCAUUGUAUUGACUGGUAGAAAGGCGACUGUUGCCAACUAGUGUAUUUAUAAAAUGUGGUGGUCUGAUAGGAGUGAUGAUUUAUACCAAAAGAAAUUUAAAAAUGUACAGUUGACAAGUAGUCCAGGAUUAAUAUACCUCCAAAAUCACAGGAAUUCAAACAAACUGCAAACAUUUGGAGUUUAGAUACAGAUUAGAUUAGAUUUAGAAUGGGUUAGAGAUAGUUUCAUGGAGUAAGUAACUAAACAAAAAUGAAAAGAAAAAGAUAAAAUAAGAGAAAGCUAUAUUUUGUUAAGCACAUCAUUGUUAAGACAUUUAUUCUUCACAUUUGUAAUGCAUUAGGCAGGUCUCUUUAAAAGCUCAAAUAAUGAGAUAGUCAUCAAAAAUAACAAUUUACAAUAUAUCAGAAUUUUCAUUUGUACCUGCACAGUUUUUUCAUGAAUUAUAAUAAAGUAUUAAAAAGACAAGGUGAAUUUAUACAUGCUAACCUUUUCAUUGAAUUUGGGAUACAAGCAUACCUUAUAAUAAAGAUGUGUUUUUACCGUU